rnacentral:rRNA from 2 species
GGUUAAGCGACUAAGCGUACACGGUGGAUGCCCUGGCAGUCAGAGGCGAUGAAGGACGUGCUAAUCUGCGAUAAGCGUCGGUAAGGUGAUAUGAACCGUUAUAACCGGCGAUUUCCGAAUGGGGAAACCCAGUGUGAUUCGUCACACUAUCAUUAACUGAAUCCAUAGGUUAAUGAGGCGAACCGGGGGAACUGAAACAUCUAAGUACCCCGAGGAAAAGAAAUCAACCGAGAUUCCCCCAGUAGCGGCGAGCGAACGGGGAGCAGCCCAGAGCCUGAAUCAGUGUGUGUGUUAGUGGAAGCGUCUGGAAAGGCGCGCGAUACAGGGUGACAGCCCCGUACACAAAAAUGCACAUACUGUGAGCUCGAUGAGUAGGGCGGGACACGUGGUAUCCUGUCUGAAUAUGGGGGGACCAUCCUCCAAGGCUAAAUACUCCUGACUGACCGAUAGUGAACCAGUACCGUGAGGGAAAGGCGAAAAGAACCCCGGCGAGGGGAGUGAAAAAGAACCUGAAACCGUGUACGUACAAGCAGUGGGAGCACAGAGCAAUCUGUGUGACUGCGUACCUUUUGUAUAAUGGGUCAGCGACUUAUAUUCUGUAGCAAGGUUAACCGAAUAGGGGAGCCGAAGGGAAACCGAGUCUUAACUGGGCGUUAAGUUGCAGGGUAUAGACCCGAAACCCGGUGAUCUAGCCAUGGGCAGGUUGAAGGUUGGGUAACACUAACUGGAGGACCGAACCGACUAAUGUUGAAAAAUUAGCGGAUGACUUGUGGCUGGGGGUGAAAGGCCAAUCAAACCGGGAGAUAGCUGGUUCUCCCCGAAAGCUAUUUAGGUAGCGCCUCGUGAAUUCAUCUCCGGGGGUAGAGCACUGUUUCGGCAAGGGGGUCAUCCCGACUUACCAACCCGAUGCAAACUGCGAAUACCGGAGAAUGUUAUCACGGGAGACACACGGCGGGUGCUAACGUCCGUCGUGAAGAGGGAAACAACCCAGACCGCCAGCUAAGGUCCCAAAGUCAUGGUUAAGUGGGAAACGAUGUGGGAAGGCCCAGACAGCCAGGAUGUUGGCUUAGAAGCAGCCAUCAUUUAAAGAAAGCGUAAUAGCUCACUGGUCGAGUCGGCCUGCGCGGAAGAUGUAACGGGGCUAAACCAUGCACCGAAGCUGCGGCAGCGACGCUGAUGCGUUGUUGGGUAGGGGAGCGUUCUGUAAGCCUGUGAAGGUGUGCUGUGAGGCAUGCUGGAGGUAUCAGAAGUGCGAAUGCUGACAUAAGUAACGAUAAAGCGGGUGAAAAGCCCGCUCGCCGGAAGACCAAGGGUUCCUGUCCAACGUUAAUCGGGGCAGGGUGAGUCGACCCCUAAGGCGAGGCCGAAAGGCGUAGUCGAUGGGAAACAGGUUAAUAUUCCUGUACUUGGUGUUACUGCGAAGGGGGGACGGAGAAGGCUAUGUUGGCCGGGCGACGGUUGUCCCGGUUUAAGCGUGUAGGCUGGUUUUCCAGGCAAAUCCGGAAAAUCAAGGCUGAGGCGUGAUGACGAGGCACUACGGUGCUGAAGCAACAAAUGCCCUGCUUCCAGGAAAAGCCUCUAAGCAUCAGGUAACAUCAAAUCGUACCCCAAACCGACACAGGUGGUCAGGUAGAGAAUACCAAGGCGCUUGAGAGAACUCGGGUGAAGGAACUAGGCAAAAUGGUGCCGUAACUUCGGGAGAAGGCACGCUGAUAUGUAGGUGAAGUCCCUCGCGGAUGGAGCUGAAAUCAGUCGAAGAUACCAGCUGGCUGCAACUGUUUAUUAAAAACACAGCACUGUGCAAACACGAAAGUGGACGUAUACGGUGUGACGCCUGCCCGGUGCCGGAAGGUUAAUUGAUGGGGUCAGCGCAAGCGAAGCUCUUGAUCGAAGCCCCGGUAAACGGCGGCCGUAACUAUAACGGUCCUAAGGUAGCGAAAUUCCUUGUCGGGUAAGUUCCGACCUGCACGAAUGGCGUAAUGAUGGCCAGGCUGUCUCCACCCGAGACUCAGUGAAAUUGAACUCGCUGUGAAGAUGCAGUGUACCCGCGGCAAGACGGAAAGACCCCGUGAACCUUUACUAUAGCUUGACACUGAACAUUGAGCCUUGAUGUGUAGGAUAGGUGGGAGGCUUUGAAGUGUGGACGCCAGUCUGCAUGGAGCCGGCCUUGAAAUACCACCCUUUAAUGUUUGAUGUUCUAACGUUGACCCGUGAUCCGGGUUGCGGACAGUGUCUGGUGGGUAGUUUGACUGGGGCGGUCUCCUCCUAAAGAGUAACGGAGGAGCACGAAGGUUGGCUAAUCCUGGUCGGACAUCAGGAGGUUAGUGCAAUGGCAUAAGCCAGCUUGACUGCGAGCGUGACGGCGCGAGCAGGUGCGAAAGCAGGUCAUAGUGAUCCGGUGGUUCUGAAUGGAAGGGCCAUCGCUCAACGGAUAAAAGGUACUCCGGGGAUAACAGGCUGAUACCGCCCAAGAGUUCAUAUCGACGGCGGUGUUUGGCACCUCGAUGUCGGCUCAUCACAUCCUGGGGCUGAAGUAGGUCCCAAGGGUAUGGCUGUUCGCCAUUUAAAGUGGUACGCGAGCUGGGUUUAGAACGUCGUGAGACAGUUCGGUCCCUAUCUGCCGUGGGCGCUGGAGAACUGAGGGGGGCUGCUCCUAGUACGAGAGGACCGGAGUGGACGCAUCACUGGUGUUCGGGUUGUCAUGCCAAUGGCACUGCCCGGUAGCUAAAUGCGGAAGAGAUAAGUGCUGAAAGCAUCUAAGCACGAAACUUGCCCCGAGAUGAGUUCUCCCUGACUCCUUGAGAGUCCUGAAGGAACGUUGAAGACGACGACGUUGAUAGGCCGGGUGUGUAAGCGCAGCGAUGCGUUGAGCUAACCGGUACUAAUGAACCGUGAGGCUUAACCUU